rnacentral:ncRNA from 1 species
CAGAGUAGAUGAGAUGCGUCAAGUGUUAAGGGAUGGGAUGUAGCCCUUGAACGAAAGACUAUGUCUGCGGUAUCUUAUCGCUUCCGCUGU